rnacentral:tRNA from 1 species
GCCCGAGUGGCGGAAUGGCAGACGCAGCGGACUCAAAAUCCGCCGGGGGGCAACCCCCGUGCGAGUUCGACUCUCGCCUCGGGCA